UUCCCAUGCCGGGAAUCGAAUCCAGGCCUUCUGGGAAUAAGUCGGUGGAUGAGAGGGUAACACGCUCGAUUCCCGACAGUCAUGAACCGGGAUUGAAUCCCGCGUUAAAAUUUGUUUAAUAUGUGAAUAACCUUCACAUAUUAUUCACUGUUUCAAUUAUCAUGAACUAGGUUGCUCUUGCUGAGCGGUACCUAUUAAUGUGAUUUUGAACCAGAGACCUUCUGGGUGAAAGCCAGAUAUUCUAGCCACUAGACCACGUGGGA